UACGUAGGGGGCGAGCGUUGUCCGGAAUGACUGGGCGUAAAGGGCGUGUAGGCGGCCGAAUAAGUCUGGAGUGAAAGUCCUGAUUUCAAGUUGGGAAUUGCUUUGGAGACUGUUUGGCUUGAGUGCGGAAGAGGUAAGUGGAAUUCCCAGUGUAGCGGUGAAAUGCGUAGAGAUUGGGAGGAACACCAGUGGCGAAGGCGACUUACUGGGCCGUAACUGACGCUGAGGCGCGAAAGCGUGGGGAGCGAACAGGAUUAGAUACCCCUGUAGUUCCUGA
rnacentral:rRNA from 1 species